rnacentral:rRNA from 1 species
UACGAGGGGGGCGAGCGUUGUUCGGAAUUAUUGGGCGUAAAGGGUGCGUAGGCGGUUCCGCAAGUCCGGUGUGAAAUCUUCGGGCUCAACUCGAAGUCUGCAUAGGAAACUGUCGGGCUUGAGUAUGGGAGAGGUGAGUGGAAUUUCCGGUGUAGCGGUGAAAUGCGUAGAUAUCAGGAAGAACACCCGUGGCGAAGGCGGCUCUCUGGGACGGUACUGACGCUGAGACGCGAAAGCGUGGGGAGCGAACAGG